GUCUAGAUGCAAGAACGGUCCCCGUGAUGUUGUCAGGUGAAUACCUGCAACGUGCGGGGGUUUUCU
rnacentral:antisense_RNA from 1 species